rnacentral:rRNA from 1 species
CCUACGGGCUGCUGCAGUGAGGAAUAUUGGUCAAUGGGCGCGAGCCUGAACCAGCCAAGUCGCGUGAGGGAAGACGGUCCUAUGGAUUGUAAACCUCUUUUGUCGGGGAGCAAAAGACGCCACGCGUGGCGUUCCGAGAGUACCCGAAGAAAAAGCAUCGGCUAACUCCGUGCCAGCAGCCGCGGUAAUACGGAGGAUGCCAGCGUUAUCCGGAUUUAUUGGGUUGAAAGGGUGCACAGGCGGAAGAUCAAGUCAGCGGUAAAAGUGAGAGGCUCAACCUCUUCGAGCCGUUGAAACUGGUUUUCUUGAGUGAGUGAGAGGUAUGCGGAAUGCGUGGUGUAGCGGUGAAAUGCAUAGAUAUCACGCAGAACUCCGAUUGCGAAGGCAGCAUACCGGCGCUCAACUGACGCUCAUGCACGAAAGUGUGGGUAUCGAACAGGAUUAGAUACCCGGGUAGUC